AUCAUAUUCAUAUACACUAUAGUUCUAGAUUGUUCUACCAUAUUCAUACAUAUUAUAUUUAAGAAUAUUCUAAAAAUUUGUAGCAAUUUCAACACUUUUUAUCACACAUAAAGACUACCCUAUACCAAUUUGAUUUGAUCCACCAUCCCUUUCAAGUUGAGAGUUCUUGAAACUUGGUUAUGAAUCUUCAAAAAAUACUCUCCUAGCUCUCACACUCUCAAAAGGUGAGAUCAUCACAAAUUGAAUAGAAGAGUUAUGUGAAGAGACUUGAAUAAAGGAGAAACAGAGUUAAUCUAUUAUUUUGUUCUUGACCCCUUUUGGUUAUCAAUUUGAAGAUAAUAGUCGAUUAUAUCAUGGGAUAAGCGAUUAAUUGCGAAGGUGCCUUAAAUUCUUCCAGACUGAAAUUAUCGAUUAUCACAAGUAACUAAUCAAUUAUUUGUGAAACUGUGAUAAAUUCUCAAAACAGGCACUUUGAGAUAAUCGAUUAAUUUGUUCAUCACUUUAAGACUUAAAAAUAUGGAAACUUGUUUCAAUCCAGAAUUAAUCCAAGUUAUUUACUAAGUUCAUUUUAUCAGAAGGGUGCUAGGAUAAGUCUAUAUAUGAGGAUAAUCUAACCUAUAUCAAUUCAUCUCACACACAAUCGUGCAAUGAAAGAAAAACGAAAGACAAAGCUAUAAUAGUUUUGUUCCACUCUAGUUCUAUUUUUUUUUGGUUGUCAAAGAUGGAGAUAGAGAUUGUCAUGGUGGUACAAAAAUUAUGUCCCCAAAAUGGAGAUAACUGCUUUUCAAGAGAGAAAACAAUUACAAGAGGUGACAAAACUGGCGGAGUAGUGACAGUGGAUGUUAAGUUGUAAUUCAGUAGUUAGUUGUAUUAGAGGCUGUUAGUGAUAGUUAUAGACUUUCCUAUAUAAGGGAGUCACUGUAAAGUGCAGUAAGUGAAUAAUAGAAUUUUGCAUCUAUUAUUUUCUUUGUUAAAAGGAAACCAUGUGGAGGAUGAGUGUUUCAACAAAUUGGUGUGUAGAGCUUUGUUCGUUUCCUGGAACCAGAAGUUUCUUCACAAAGAUGAUUUCUCACAAUGAAAAUUUCCCUGCUUCUUUAUC